UCUACUAGAUAGCGGCGUUUUGUGCAAAGGGCUGCAGGUACCCGCCAAUUGUCGCGUUGGCGUUAUGGCUCAGGGGUGUAUUUCUUGAAUUUAAAUUUUUUUUAAAGUCUUCAAAAAGGCAGUAGUAGUCUCUCCACUUCCCUGUUACAAGUCUGAGACUUUUAUUAUGAGAGGCCCCUUUCUCUUUCCGAGAACCCUUCCCUCUCACUCAUUUUAUUCUUAUCCCGAUCAAACUGGCCCCAUUCUCCAAGACGUCUCGCCGUUGAUUUGAUUUGAUUUAUUUUUAAUUAUGUGUGUUCUUUGGGAAAAGUCCAGCCUCCGGUGACUCCUCUUGCCUCUUUACCGGAUCUGUCCUUGCCUCUUUACCGGAUCUGUCCUUGCCUCCUUCCCGGUCCUCCGAGAAAGACCAGCCCUUUCGUGCUGCGGUCUGAGGAAUGGAACUGGACGGCGCUCGGGAAACCUCACUGCAGGAAGGCUCUUCCUUGCCUGAAGAGCGAUCUCCCUCCGCCCUAGGACAGGCCUUCUCCAAGAUUUUGCCCGGUCUUACCGGCCAGGAGGCACGAGGGGUCAGAGGAAGAGAUGCAGCUCUUAAAGAUCUAGGUGCUCUAAUAGAACACACGGAGUAUGAUAGAUUAUUUGACGGUGAGCUCCGCGGAAUGCCGGAGAUACUGGAGCAGGUGGCAAAAACUCUGGAGAUGUAUGCAGCCCCACCCAAGGAGGAGGAAAGUGGAGGUCAUAGCCACUGUCAAGUGGCUGAGAAAGCAGCAGAAGUUGGGUUACUGUUCCUUAAGCUGUUGGGAAAAAUCGAAACUUCCAAGAAUUCUCUGGCCUGCCCUGCAUGGAAGUCAGGCCUACGUCACUUGGCGGGACCCAUCUAUAUUUUUGCCGUCACACACAGCCUUGACCAACCAUGGACCAGCCUAAGAUCUCGGGAAGUUGCUAGGGAGGUUCUCACGUUACUGCUCCAAGUUACUGAAUGCGGUUCUGUGGCAGAAUUCCUACACGGAAAAAAUGAAGAUGAGAAAGGGAGAUUUACUAUGAUAAUGGGACUUCUUAAACCCAGUUUGAAUAAGGAAUCCUGGAAGAGCAGCCCUGCCAUCAAACAUGUUUUCUCAUGGACUCUGCAACAAGUUACUCGACCCUGGCUGACCCAUCAUCUGGAAAGGAUACUUCCCCCUUCAUUGCUUAUCUCAGAUGAUUAUCAGACUGAGAACAAAAUCCUGGGUGUGCUCUGCCUCCAUCACAUUGUGCUCAAUGUGCCAGCUGCUGAUUUGCUCCAGUAUAACAGAGUCCAGGUUCUGUACCAUGCCAUUUUCAACCACCUAUACACCCCAGAGCAUGAUCUCAUUCAGGUUGUGCUCCUGUGUCUGCUGGAUUUAUUCCCCAUCCUGGAAAAGGCCCAGCAGUGGAAGGGAGAUGGAGCUCGGCCCACCACACACUGUGAUGAGGUGCUGCAGCUGAUCCUGACCCACAUGGAGCCUGAGCACCGCCUUCUCUUACGCAGGACCUAUACAAGACACCUACCGGCUUUUGUGAAGCGGUUGGGGAUCCUAACUGUCCGGCACUUGAGGAGGCUAGAGCGAGUCAUCAUUGGUUAUCUGGAGGUUUAUGAUGGACCAGAGGAGGAGGCUAGAUUGAAGAUAUUGGAAACCCUAAAACUUGUCAUGCAAUAUACCUGGCCAAGAGUUUCCUGCAGACUUGUGGUCCUACUGAAAGCUCUCUUGAAACUGAUAUGUGAUGCAGCGAGGGAUCCAAAUCUGACACCCGAGCCAGUUAAGAGCGCCUUGUUGCAGGAGGCCACAGACUGCCUGAUUAUCCUGGACCACUGCUCUCAAGGACAGGUGAAGGGUCUCCUGGCCAACGUUGUCCAAAGCUGUGAAGACAGCAAGGUGGUGAACUGUAUCAGAGAAGUGCAACAGGCUUCUGAAGGCACUCCCUUCAAUGGAACUUAAGAUUUGUAUUACUUUCCCAAGAGCAAAAAGAUUUUUCUUUCUCAUUUAAGGAAAAAAGAGACAGUCUUGCUAUGCUGCCCAAGCUGGAAUGCAGUGGCGCUAUCAUAGUUCCCCACAGCUUAGAAAUUCUGGCCUCAACUGAUCCUCCUGGCUCAGCUUCCCAAAGUGCUGGGAUUAUAGGGUGUUGGGUGUGUACUGUUCCUGGCUGAGUAUUGUUUUGUUUGUUUGUUUUUGAGACUGCUGCCCUGGCUACAGUACCGUGGUGUCAGUCUACCACACAGCAACCUCAAACUCCUGACUUCAAGUGAUCUUCCUGCCUCAGCCGCCUCUGAGUAGCUGGUACUACAGACACCUGCCACAACACCUGGCUAAUUUUUCUAUUUUUAGUAGAGAUGGGGUCUCAUUCUUGCUUAGGCUAGUCUUAAACCCUGAGCUCAAGAGACCCACCUGUGUUGGCCUCUGAGAGUACUAGUGAGUUUCAGUUCUUUACCAGCAAUUUCAAAGUCCAAAAAUUCAAUUUAGCAGCCAAAUGACUGGAAGGGACAUGAAGCUAUUAAAGAAUAUAUUUUUCUAAAUCCAUCUACUGUGAACAUUUGUAUAUUUCACUGCAGAAAUAUAAGUGUAUUUGACUAGAAUGCUCAAACUCUGCUGAAGGUAAUAUGUAAUACAUAAGACAUCUGACCUCAAGAAUUUCAGAUAAAGGAGUUGUGGAGCUCUAAGAUAAAGUUCUUUCUCUUCCCCAUUAUAUAUACCCUCCUCUAAAGUGCUCUUAUUUUAGCCUGCCCUAAAAGUCAUAAUCGUAAGAUACAA